ACUGCUCAGUAACACGUGGACAACUUUUCCUUUGGACCGGGAUAACCCCUGGGAAACUGGGGCUAAUACCGGAUAGAGCAUUGAUAGCUGGAAUGCACGAUGCUCGAAAGCUGAGGCGCCAAAGGGUAGGUCUGCGGCCGAUUAGGUUGUUGUUGAUGUAAUGGAUCAACAAGCCUCCGAUCGGUAUGGGUUGUGAGAGCAAUAUCCCAGAGAUGGGGUUCUGAGAGAAGAACCCAGGUCCUACGGGACGCAUCAGGCGCGAAAACUUUACAAUGUGCGAAAGCACGAUAAGGGAACUCUGAGUGCCUCCAAAGGAGGCUGUUCAGGUGUCUAAAAAGCAUCUGAAGUAAGGGCUGGGCAAGACCGGUGCCAGCCGCCGCGGUAACACCGGCAGCCCAAGUGGUGGCCACUUUUACUGGGUCUAAAGCGUUCGUAGCCGGCCAUGUAAGUUCCUUGGGAAAUUUGACCGCUUAACGGUUAAGCUUCCAGGGAAUACUGCUUGGCUUGGGACCGGGAGAGGUCAGAGGUACCUCAAGGGUAGGGGUGAAAUCCGUUAAUCCUUGGGGGACCGCCAGUAGCGAAGGCGUCUGACCAGACCGGAUCCGACGGUGAGGGACGAAGGCUAGGGUAGCGAACCGGAUUAGAUACCCGGGUAGUCCUAGCUGUAAACGAUGCGGGCUAGGUGUUGGCAUUACUGCGAGUGAUGCCAGUGCCGAAGGGAAGCCGUUAAGCCCGCCAUCUGGGGAGUACGGUCGCAAGGCUGAAACUUAAAGGAAUUGGUGGGGGAGCACUACAACGGGUGGAGCCUGCGGUUCAAUUGGAGUCAACGCCG
rnacentral:rRNA from 1 species